rnacentral:tRNA from 1 species
UGGAAUGUGGCUUAGUGGUAGAGUGCUUGCCUAGCAUGCAUGAAGCCCUGGGUUCGAUUCCUCAGUACCAC